CGGUUUGGCGGCCUCUACCUAGACCGCCUCUGACCUGGGAGGGACGCAGGGGAUUGGGCGGUGGGCCCCUAGGAUAGCGAGCUGCGGGGUUGCGGCGGGUUAGUGACAGGCGCGCGCUUGGCCAUCGCCUCUGCUUCUUUGCUUGGGAGGACCCGGAAGGCGUGAUUUUCCAAGCUAAUUAUGAACACAUUUGUCAUUGGAAUUGGUGGUGUGACUAAUGGUGGGAAGACAACACUGGCUAAGAAUUUGCAGAAACACCUACCGAACUGCAGUGUCAUAUCUCAGGAUGAUUUCUUUAAGCCAGAGUCUGAGAUAGAAAUAGAUAAAAAUGGAUUUCUGCAGUAUGAUGUGCUUGAAGCGCUUAACAUGGAAAAAAUGAUGUCCACUAUUUCUGGCUGGAUGGAAAACCCAAGGCACUCUCUGGUAUCAACAGAUGGGGGCAACACUGAGGAAAUUCCCAUAUUAAUCAUCGAAGGUUUCCUUCUCUUUAACUAUAAGCCUCUUGACACUAUAUGGAAUAGAAGCUACUUUCUAACCAUUCCGUAUGAAGAAUGUAAGAGGAGGAGGAGUACAAGGGUCUACAAGCCUCCAGACCCCCCCGGGUACUUCGAUGGCCACGUGUGGCCCAUGUAUCUGAAGCACAGACAAGAAAUGGAGGACAUCCCGUGGGAAAUUGAGCCACUGCUGAGGUUCUGGCCUCACCACUUCCAGUUUGGACCAUGGUUGCAGGGACGUCCUCUUCUUACUGCCCAUCUCUCCCUCCCCAUCAAAAAUUUACCUAGAUGGAACAAAAUCUGAAGAGGACCUCUUUUCACAAGUGUAUGAAGAUCUAAGACAAGAACUAGCAAAGCAAAAAUGUCUGCAAGUAACAGCAUAAAGAUGGACUGUACUGAAUCCUUUCUGGGAUAAACUAGGAAACUCGAAGGAAUAUAUUCAAGAACCUUAACCAAGAUAAUACACCUCUACUUUUGACACAACUCAGAAAUGUCUUGAAAAAGCCAGGGUCGCUCAUUCUUGGCUUGUGGACCUAUCACCAGGAGGUCACAAGAAGGCAGCAGAAGCUCCCCGAAUAGUGUCAGCUAUCAAGGCAGGAAGACAGCCACCCAACACUGUCUCCAACAGAGUUCCCCCUAUGUCGCUUAGCCCGGAACUGACUCACAUGGGCACUUCUCACUGCAAGGGAGGCUGGGAAGAGGAUGUCAUAAUAAGUUUGGACCAAUUAGGAUUCAUUGCCUGGGGCCAUUGCCACGGGAACAAAAUCAAGCCUCUUUUAGGAAGGAAGGAGGAGGAAACAGAUGAGCAGCUGGAAGUGUUGGCUAUUUUAUCAAGCUUGGAUUGCUGUCAUUCCAAAUUACUGUUGUCAAAACAGUCGAAUUUUUUUUUUAGAAUAAAAGUCUAGAUAUGAUUUUUCAAGCUUGAUUUCCAAGAAUUUCUGACAUUCUCCACAUAGAGGGAUGUCCGUACUGAUGGAGAAGCAUUACACUUGACUUUUCUCCCCAUUUCAGCUUGUGAAACUAGGUCAGAGAAAGACCAUCUUGAAGAGAAACAAAACCUUAACAGACAUUAAAAAUGGAAAUAUUCAAAUUAUUUCUGAAAGAAAUACAUAUCUUUUGCUUACUAUUAUCAGUGAAACAUCAGGAACUAGAAAUAAAGAAUAUCAGUGCUUCAUCUCUGGUGUGCGGUUUCACGUUACAAUUACCCUUAUCAAAGCAGUGAAUGGGAUAUUGUAUCUUUUUCAAAACACAGAGAAAAUCUGA